CACAGCUGGAUGUCUUUUCACAGUGUUGCCAAGGUCACAGCUAUUGAAGUACAGGGCUGUCAAGUUUACCACCAACAUGUUUUGUAGCCAACCAUCCUGUCAGUGCUACUGGGUGUAGUGGAAGAAGGAUGAGAAUAGAGAUGAAACCGGGAAGACAACCACCACACCACUCGGGCCAACACUCAUUCAAGCUGUGAAAGGAAGGCAGUGCUGGUUGUGAGGACUAAAUAUGAAAAAGAUGCGACCCAGCUCUAAUGCCCUGUCUGAGUUGGACUCAGUAGAGGGUACAGAACCCCAGGAAACCCAGAUAUCCCACAACUGUAAUAAAGCCUUGGGUCAUGUAUCUUCAUCCCAGAAUGGAUCUAAUAUUAUGGCUUUCCUCAAGAGAAAUUCUUUUGUUGUUCUCACAAUGACCGCUGUUGCAUUUGGAAUUGGCCUGGGCUUUGCUCUGCGACCCAUUAAUAUGUCAGCCACUGACAUAAAAUAUUUAACCUUUCCUGGAGAGCUGCUGAUGAGAAUCCUGCAGAUGGUGGUGCUUCCUCUUAUCAUUUCCAGUCUGAUUACAGUUAUGUCAUCUGUGGACAGGAAAGCUUAUGGAAGAAUUGGGGGGAGGGCCUUCAGCUGUUACAUGGUCACCACACUUGUUGCUGCAUUCACUGGCAUCGCCUUGGCUGUUAUCAUCCAGCCAGGGAACUCAUCCAGUAGCACUGCAGUGUCCUCUGGUGGUAAAGAGAAGGCUGUGCAGAGCGUGGAUGCCUUUCUGGAUCUAAUCAGAAACAUGAUCCCCUCAAAUCUGGUUGAAGCUUGUUUCAGAAAGUUUAAAACAGUUUAUUCCAGGAAUCAUGAUGGUGUCAUCAGUUAUACUGAGGCCAGUGAAGACGGGACCCCUAUAGAUGACACAGUACCAGUGCCAGGCACCUCAGAUGGGGUAAAUACUUUAGGUCUGCUGGUCUUCUCUGUUGCCUUUGGCCUCAUUCUGGGCAGUAUGGAGAACCAGGGAAAGCCUCUUAGGGAUUUCUUUGACUGCCUGAAUAAAGCCAUUAUGCGUCUGGUCAACAUAGUCAUCUGGUAUUCCCUGGUGGGAAUCGUCUUCCUGCUGGCAGGACAGAUUGUGAAGAUGACAGACACUGGAGAAUUAGGUCGUGAAGUUGCCAUGUAUACUCUGACUGUGAUCACUGGCCUUCUAAUCCACAGCUUCUUCACCCUGCCCCUCCUCUAUUUUGUUGUCACACGAAAGAAUCCCUUCAGAUUUAUGAGUGGUCUUCUCCAGCCUCUCGUCACUGCCUUUGGGACUUCAUCAAGUUCUGCAACCUUACCUGUAACCCUCCACUGUAUGGAGGAAAAUCACAGCAUGGACAAACAAGUGACAUGCCUCAUGCUGCCUACAGGUGCCUCAGUGAACAUGGACGGCGCAGCACUCUAUGAAGCAGUCACAGCUUUAUUCAUAGCCCAGGUUCAUAAUAUGGACUUUAACCUGGGUCAAAUUAUUGUACUCAGGGAUCGUUUGAGGACUGCCACUAAUGUCCUGGGUGAUUGUGUCGGUGUGGGUGUUGUCCAGCAUCUGUUCAGAUGUGAGCUACAGAGCUCCAGGCCUGCAGAAGAAAGCAUCUGGCUCUGAGCUUCAUCAGGUUUGACAGCAUUCCAUUUGUAAUAGCUAAGAUUAAUGUGAUAUGUUGUUGUUGAAUGAUAACAAAAGAAGUAGUUGAUACUCAUUUAGCUUAGAAUAUGGACAGAAAUCCCCGGGAAUAUGUUUCAGCUUGAUGAGCUGGAGGGACUGACAACAAACUUUCUGCGAUAGUUCAUUUAGGACGGAAGCAUGAAAUAGUGUUGAUCUAUGUAUAGGAUGUAGUACUCAAAUUAGUAUUAGUAUUAAUUCUCAAACCAUAUUUUAAGUGCAAUUUUAAUUUGUCUGCAGGACUUUAUGGAAACAGCUCAUAAGUAAGGCCACUUAAUAUACUCAGCUUAAAAAUCCAACACUGGAUUUACAUGAGGUUAUGAAGAGGUCAAACCAAUCUGUGUAUUUUAGCAAACUGUUUCCUUCCUCAUAAUGUUGCAGAUGUGCACUCUAACACCAUCUGGUGGCAGGAGUGUCAGUGACCCAGUUACAUAUGAGUUAAUCAUAUACAUACAUAUAGAACUGUUAAAUACUUAAUGGUACUGCAUUUUAUGGAAGUAAACACAGCUUAGCGUGGGCCUGGAACUGAAACAUUAUUGUGGAAUGUAUUUCCUCCGCAAAGAGCUAGAGGAGAUUAUGGUUUAUUAAAGAAAAUGAAACAACAUUAAAAGAUCAUUUCACCUUAUUGACUCUUAAAGGGAAUCAGAGAUCUUCAGAUAGCCAAGUAGUUAAACCAAGAGAAGCGAUAAUUAAAAGCUAGGCAAGCCAUGCUUGGAAAUAAGAUAAAUAAAGACAAAUCAUUAACUUAUUUAUUACAAUUGAUCAUUAAAACAAUGUUGGUGUGUUCUUAAAAACCUAAAGCUAUCUAUUUGAAAUUCAGCAUCUGUCGACUGCACUGAUCCAUGGGAAAACAAAUGUGUUUAGUCACAAGUCUGGACAUAUUGCAGCAUUUCAGUGCUGUGCAAAGUAGCGUUAUUAAUAGAAAACUAGAAACACACCCGAAAUGCAUUUUUCUGCCAAGCAGCCAGAGGCGGGAGAAGAAUAAGAAAACUGGCUGCUCCCACUGGGCGUUGAGUGCAAUGCUACUCUGUGUUUACUGACAUCGCCCAGAGUUCAGUGCAGCUGUGAGGAGAGAGGAAGAGAAAAAAGAGGGAGGGAGGGAGGAGGGGGCGUGAGCAUUACAGCUAGCAAGCAAGAGAAAAGGAGGGGAAUCCAUGUGAGGGAGGGGUUUCAUCAAGGGUGAGAGAGCUUAAAAGAGAUGGUGAGAAAAAGCAAGAGAGAGAGGGGAGGACUGUGUGUGUGUACGUGUGUGAGAGAGAGAGGGGGGAAGAUGCUGUUGCCAGGGAACAGCGGUGAAGUAGAAACGUCCAUCUUUUCCAGCUCGUCGGAGGAUAACAACACAUUAAAUCAUGGAUGCAGAAUGGACUGAACGUGAGGAGAAAGAAAACAGCUGUUUGUGACCCCGAGCAGCCUUCAGGGAAUCAAAGAGAAGGGGGACACGGUUUCUCUCUCAGCCUCCAUUAGCAGCAUCAGGAAACAGCCAGAGUUGUCCAGAAGCCCAGGUCCUGAGCACACAACCGUCCCACCUGCAGAUGUAAACAGUGAUGAUCCUCGCUCUGAUCAGGCAGCUCUGAAAAGGAGGAACAGGAACAGAAAAGGGAGCGUCUGAAAGCAAAACAGGGACGAUUUCCAAACGGCGAAGAGGAAAUCUUCCUAAUUA